UACGGGGGGGGCAAGCGUUGUUCGGAAUUACUGGGCGUAAAGGGUUUGUAGGUGGCUUGUUAAGUCAGACGUGAAAUCCCUCAGCUUAACUGGGGAACUGCGUCUGAGACUGGUGAGCUUGAGUGCAGGAGAGGAACGCGGAAUUCCAGGUGUAGCGGUGAAAUGCGUAGAUAUCUGGAGGAACACCGGUGGCGAGGCGGCGUUCUGGACUGCAACUGACACUGAUGAACGAAAGCCAGGGGAGCAAACGGG
rnacentral:rRNA from 1 species